rnacentral:rRNA from 1 species
GUGCCAGCAGCCGCGGUAAUACGGAGGGUGCAAGCGUUAUCCGGAUUCACUGGGUUUAAAGGGUGCGUAGGUGGGUUGGUAAGUCAGUGGUGAAAUCCCCGAGCUUAACUUGGGAACUGCCAUUGAUACUAUCAGUCUUGAAUAUUGUGGAGGUUAGCGGAAUAUGUCAUGUAGCGGUGAAAUGCUUAGAUAUGACAUAGAACACCAAUUGCGAAGGCAGCUGGCUACGCAUAUAUUGACACUGAGGCACGAAAGCGUGGGGAUCAAACAGGAUUAGAAACCCUCGUAGUCC